GGGGCUAUAGCUCAGCUGGGAGAGCGCCUGCUUUGCACGCACGAGGUCUGCGGUUCGGUCCCGCAUAGCUCCACCA
rnacentral:tRNA from 1 species